UCUCUUGUGCUCGGGCACGUACAUGCGGCAGUGAAGUCUCGACUGAGCCCAUGUCUUUUGCUGAUUGCAAAUUACACAUCCGAAUCCGUCUAUUAGCUUCGGCUUUUAGCAAUUUUUGGACAACACCCUCCCCUCUCUUCUCUUUCCUCGGUUUGAGCUUGAUGGACCUUCUUGGGCCUCAGUGAAGGAGUCUGAAGCGGGACUUCCGAGAGGUGU
rnacentral:snRNA from 1 species